CGGGGCGUGGCGAAGCUGGCAUCGCGCUGCUUUUUGGGAAGCAGAGAUCAUCAGUUCAAAUCUGGUCGCCCCGA
rnacentral:tRNA from 1 species